AUGAGGCCACUGCCACAAGCAUGGCGCCUCAAAGCGGAGCAAGUUGCAAGGCGCGGCAAAGUUGCACGGCCUGAGGCGGCGAAGUUGAAUGUCCUGGACGCUGCGGCUAUACGGGCAAGGAAUCACAGUUCAAAAAAAAUGUACGGGCAAGGAAUCCAGCGAGCUCACGUUCCCUGCCAUGGCGUCCAUCACGCGCAACGGAAGAUGGAAGGAGAUGGGGAGAAGCUAGGAGGGGCGGUGUUGGUGGCGGGGGAGCCUCGCCGGGGACAGCCACGAGGAGAUGAAGGCUGGCCGCGGGAGGUAGCAGCCAAAUCGACAGAGGCAAGUGGUGGUUGGCGGCAGUGGAGGCGCGUCAGGGAGCGUUGA
rnacentral:rRNA from 1 species